rnacentral:lncRNA from 1 species
GCCACAUGGCUCUGCCUGAGCCCAUCUGGCAGCCUUCCUUGGCAGGGACAGAAGGGGUGAUCUAGAAGGGGUGAUCCCUCCAUGAAGCAUGGAAGGGAACAGGGCUAGGUCUGUGUUUGGCGCUCACCCCAUCCCUCCACUCCCUGGCUUCCUCUGGCCUGGGGAGUUUUGUUUUUCACCCUCCAGAGGGGGAGGACAUGGGGCCACACCCUGGCCUGUCUCUCAGGCUUGUGUGGGUGGAGGCUGGGAAGGGAGUUGGGCUAAACUUCGCUGUUGCCCGAGGCCAUGGCCACUUCCCGGCAGGUUGCCAGCGUCGCUACAGCCCAGACCAAGGCAGAAUAAUCUCCGGAUGAGCUGGUGGCACCGCUGAGCCUUUGGUCUCACCAGGGCUUCCUGUUGCUGGCAGGCGGGGUGGAGCGGAGCUGCUGGGAGGCUGCUGGAUAGGAGAGGGGUCACGGCUGCGGAAGAGGAGGUUCUUCGGGACACCCGUGGAUGGACACGGCAAGGAAAGAGCAAGGCUCAGGAUGAUUUAUCCUCUUUUCACUGAUGAGGAAUCUGAGGCCCAGAGAACAGUCAUGAAGUGUGAUCAGACCCUGAGGUCUCCAAAAAGAUAAUGUCCUUGCGAACUCCAGGGAUUCUGGCAUCUUGCUGUACCCACCCCAGCCCACACGGCAGGAUCCUAUCCAAGUCCCUUAUCCACCCGGACACUCACUUUAGCUUUUACACCCUCAAGGCUGAGACCCUAAGGACACGCCCUGGAUCCAAGGAGUCCCUGGCCCCUCUGCUAAUAUGCGCCACCUGGACUCCCAGAGGGAAAGCCGGUCAGCACCCCACAUGCAUUAGCACCAUGGGCCACCCCCAAGCCCUACCCCAGGAGAAGCUCGUGGUGGCAAAA